rnacentral:lncRNA from 1 species
UAAAAACACGCAAAUUGGGGCGGGCCUAGUGCGGAAAGAUACCGGAAGUGUUUCUGUGGCCAUCUUGAACAGAUCGCAAGCUAAAUCAUCCAUCUUAGGAGGUACAGACUACAGGGGGCCGUGGCUUCCUCUUAACCGCGGCAGCUGCUGAUAAAUACUGUACUAUUAACAGUGAGGCCCGGCGUAAUUUCCUUAUUAGAGGGCUUCUUUACGUCUCUUCAUCCCAAACUGGGAAAUGGUAAUUGAAGAAACCCUUUUCUUUCAAAAAUCCCAGGCCUGUACCCUGUCUUUAGGCAGCGUGGUGUAUGAUAGGAGCGUUUUUAAAAAAUAGUUUGAUCAGCAGUGAGGGCAUAAAGAGCUGCUUCUGGAACCUGCAGCACCAAAUUUCUCUUCAGGAAACUAACAGACUUGGUUGCAAUACGAUGCUGUUGACUGGGGCAAAGAAUAAUGGGAGAAAAACAGCUGGGUCCUAAAUAACAGAGGGAAACCAACUUUCAAUAAAGUAUUCAACAACUAAUCCACAAAGCAGAUAACUGAACUUGCUGGCCUGCUCUAUAGUGCUGUUGCUUAAAAAGUCAUCUGUGAAGAAAACCAGAGGGAGAAAUUUCACCUGCCAAAGUGGAUAAAGAGGACUGUGCUUGCAGCAAGAAAUAUUGAGGGAUGAGGUACUACCUUCACUCAGAUAAAGAACUUGCUUGCUUCAGCUUGUUGUAAAAUGGCAAGUUCCCCAAGCUGUGGGUUCUAUAAGUGUUCCUCUGUUGUGAAGCAACCCAUGGCCUAUGCAAGUAUCCACCUGAGUCCUCUGCAUUGGACUUGGGAGGAGGCAAGGAGAACUAAUAUAAACAUGAUGCUCAUGCUACUUGCUGUGCUAUGAAUAAUAAAUUCCUUUGUCUCUAAA